AUGCAGUCGAGCGGUAACAGGGGGUGCUUGCACCCCGCUGACGAGCGGCGGACGGGUGAGUAAUGCUUAGGAAUCUGCCCAGUAGUGGGGGAUAGCCCGGGGAAACCCGGAUUAAUACCGCAUACGUCCUACGGGAGAAAGCAGGGGAUCUUCGGACCUUGCGCUACUGGAUGAGCCUAAGUCGGAUUAGCUAGUUGGUGGGGUAAAGGCCUACCAAGGCGACGAUCCGUAGCUGGUCUGAGAGGAUGAUCAGCCACAUCGGGACUGAGGACACGGCCCGAACUCCUACGGGAGGCAGCAGUGGGGAAUAUUGGACAAUGGGGGCAACCCUGAUCCAGCCAUGCCGCGUGUGUGAAGAAGGCUUUCGGGUUGUAAAGCACUUUCAGCGAGGAGGAAGGCUCUGAAGUUAAUACCUUCAGGGAUUGACGUUACUCGCAGAAGAAGCACCGGCUAACUCCGUGCCAGCAGCCGCGGUAAUACGGAGGGUGCAAGCGUUAAUCGGAAUUACUGGGCGUAAAGCGCGCGUAGGUGGUUAGGUAAGCGAGAUGUGAAAGCCCCGGGCUUAACCUGGGAACGGCAUUUCGAACUGUCUGACUAGAGUGUGGUAGAGGGUAGUGGAAUUUCCUGUGUAGCGGUGAAAUGCGUAGAUAUAGGAAGGAACACCAGUGGCGAAGGCGGCUACCUGGACCAACACUGACACUGAGGUGCGAAAGCGUGGGGAGCAAACAGGAUUAGAUACCCUGGUAGUCCACGCCGUAAACGAUGUCAACUAGCCGUUGGGACUCUUGAAGUCUUAGUGGCGCAGCUAACGCACUAAGUUGACCGCCUGGGGAGUACGGCCGCAAGGUUAAAACUCAAAUGAAUUGACGGGGGCCCGCACAAGCGGUGGAGCAUGUGGUUUAAUUCGACGCAACGCGAAGAACCUUACCUGGGCCUUGACAUCCAGAGAACUUUCCAGAGAUGGAUUGGUGCCUUCGGGAACUCUGAGACAGGUGCUGCAUGGCCGUCGUCAGCUCGUGUCGUGAGAUGUUGGGUUAAGUCCCGUAACGAGCGCAACCCCUAUCCCUGGUUGCUAGCAGGUAAUGCUGAGAACUCCAGGGAGACUGCCGGUGACAAACCGGAGGAAGGUGGGGAUGACGUCAGGUCAUCAUGGCCCUUACGGCCAGGGCUACACACGUGCUACAAUGGCGCGUACAGAGGGCUGCCAACUCGCGAGAGUGCGCCAAUCCCUUAAAACGCGUCGUAGUCCGGAUCGGAGUCUGCAACUCGACUCCGUGAAGUCGGAAUCGCUAGUAAUCGCGAAUCAGAAUGUCGCGGUGAAUACGUUCCCGGGCCUUGUACACACCGCCCGUCACACCAUGGGAGUGGAUUGCACCAGAAGUAGUUAGUCUAACCUUCGGGAGGACGAUAG
rnacentral:rRNA from 1 species